rnacentral:rRNA from 1 species
GGUUAAGCGACUAAGCGUACACGGUGGAUGCCCUGGCAGUCAGAGGCGAUGAAGGACGUGCUAAUCUGCGAAAAGCGCCGGCGAGGUGAUAUGAACCUUUGACCCGUCGAUGUCCGAAUGGGGAAACCCAGUGUGUUCCGACACACUAUCGUUAACUGAAUACAUAGGUUAACGAGGCGAACCGGGGGAACUGAAACAUCUAAGUACCCCGAGGAAAAGAAAUCAACCGAGAUUCCCCCAGUAGCGGCGAGCGAACGGGGAGCAGCCCGGAGUCUGAAUCAGCUUGUGUGUUAGUGGAACGGUCUGGAAAGUCCGACGGUACAGGGUGAUAGUCCCGUACACGAAAAUACACUUGCUGUGAACUCGAAGAGUAGGGCGGGACACGUGGUAUCCUGUCUGAAUAUGGGGGGACCAUCCUCCAAGGCUAAAUACUCCUGACUGACCGAUAGUGAACCAGUACCGUGAGGGAAAGGCGAAAAGAACCCCGGCGAGGGGAGUGAAAAAGAACCUGAAACCGUGUACGUACAAGCAGUGGGAGCACCUUCGGGUGUGACUGCGUACCUUUUGUAUAAUGGGUCAGCGACUUAUAUUCUGUAGCAAGGUUAACCGUAUAGGGGAGCCGAAGGGAAACCGAGUCUUAACUGGGCGUUAAGUUGCAGGGUAUAGACCCGAAACCCGGUGAUCUAGCCAUGGGCAGGUUGAAGGUUGGGUAACACUAACUGGAGGACCGAACCGACUAAUGUUGAAAAAUUAGCGGAUGACCUGUGGCUGGGGGUGAAAGGCCAAUCAAACCGGGAGAUAGCUGGUUCUCCCCGAAAGCUAUUUAGGUAGCGCCUCGUGAACUCAUCUUCGGGGGUAGAGCACUGUUUCGGCUAGGGGGCCAUCCCGGCUUACCAACCCGAUGCAAACUACGAAUACCGAAGAAUGUUAUCACGGGAGACACACGGCGGGUGCUAACGUCCGUCGUGAAGAGGGAAACAACCCAGACCGCCAGCUAAGGUCCCAAAGUCAUGGUUAAGUGGGAAACGAUGUGGGAAGGCACAGACAGCCAGGAUGUUGGCUUAGAAGCAGCCAUCAUUUAAAGAAAGCGUAAUAGCUCACUGGUCGAGUCGGCCUGCGCGGAAGAUGUAACGGGGCUAAACCAUGCACCGAAGCUGCGGCAGCGACACUAUGUGUUGUUGGGUAGGGGAGCGUUCUGUAAGCCGUUGAAGGUGUGCUGUGAGGCAUGCUGGAGGUAUCAGAAGUGCGAAUGCUGACAUAAGUAACGAUAAAGCGGGUGAAAAGCCCGCUCGCCGGAAGACCAAGGGUUCCUGUCCAACGUUAAUCGGGGCAGGGUGAGUCGACCCCUAAGGCGAGGCCGAAAGGCGUAGUCGAUGGGAAACAGGUUAAUAUUCCUGUACUUGGUGUUACUGCGAAGGGGGGACGGAGAAGGCUAUGUCAGCCGGGCGACGGUUGUCCCGGUUUAAGCAUGUAGGCGGAGGUUCCAGGUAAAUCCGGUACCUUAUUAACGCUGAGGUGUGAUGACGAGGCACUACGGUGCUGAAGUGAUAAAUGCCCUGCUUCCAGGAAAAGCCUCUAAGCAUCAGGUAACACGAAAUCGUACCCCAAACCGACACAGGUGGUCAGGUAGAGAAUACCAAGGCGCUUGAGAGAACUCGGGUGAAGGAACUAGGCAAAAUGGUGCCGUAACUUCGGGAGAAGGCACGCUGAUAUGUAGGUGAAGUCCCUGCGGACGGAGCUGAAAUCAGUCGAAGAUACCAGCUGGCUGCAACUGUUUAUUAAAAACACAGCACUGUGCAAACACGAAAGUGGACGUAUACGGUGUGACGCCUGCCCGGUGCCGGAAGGUUAAUUGAUGGGGUUAGCGGCAACGCGAAGCUCUUGAUCGAAGCCCCGGUAAACGGCGGCCGUAACUAUAACGGUCCUAAGGUAGCGAAAUUCCUUGUCGGGUAAGUUCCGACCUGCACGAAUGGCGUAAUGAUGGCCAGGCUGUCUCCACCCGAGACUCAGUGAAAUUGAACUCGCUGUGAAGAUGCAGUGUACCCGCGGCAAGACGGAAAGACCCCGUGAACCUUUACUAUAGCUUGACACUGAACACUGGUCCUUGAUGUGUAGGAUAGGUGGGAGGCUUUGAAGCGUGGACGCCAGUCUGCGUGGAGCCGUCCUUGAAAUACCACCCUUUAAUGGCUGGUGUUCUAACGUAGACCCGUGAUCCGGGUUGCGGACAGUGUCUGGUGGGUAGUUUGACUGGGGCGGUCUCCUCCCAAAGAGUAACGGAGGAGCACGAAGGUUGGCUAAUCCUGGUCGGACAUCAGGAGGUUAGUGCAAUGGCAUAAGCCAGCUUGACUGCGAGCGUGACGGCGCGAGCAGGUGCGAAAGCAGGUCAUAGUGAUCCGGUGGUUCUGAAUGGAAGGGCCAUCGCUCAACGGAUAAAAGGUACUCCGGGGAUAACAGGCUGAUACCGCCCAAGAGUUCAUAUCGACGGCGGUGUUUGGCACCUCGAUGUCGGCUCAUCACAUCCUGGGGCUGAAGUAGGUCCCAAGGGUAUGGCUGUUCGCCAUUUAAAGUGGUACGCGAGCUGGGUUUAGAACGUCGUGAGACAGUUCGGUCCCUAUCUGCCGUGGGCGCUGGAGAAUUGAGGGGGGCUGCUCCUAGUACGAGAGGACCGGAGUGGACGCAUCACUGGUGUUCGGGUUGUCAUGCCAAUGGCACUGCCCGGUAGCUAAAUGCGGAAGAGAUAAGUGCUGAAAGCAUCUAAGCACGAAACUUGCCCCGAGAUGAGUUCUCCCUGAGACUUUAAGUCUCCUGAAGGAACGUUGAAGACGACGACGUUGAUAGGUCGGGUGUGUAAGCGCAGCGAUGCGUUGAGCUAACCGAUACUAAUGAACCGUGAGGCUUAACCUU